rnacentral:snRNA from 1 species
UAACUGGCUUGUGGCAGC